CCAAGUGAGCGGCAAGAGCUCAGAUUUGAAAUCGUGUUUCGGCACGAGUUGUAGAGUGUAGGUGGGAGUCUCUGCGGAGCACAGUGUCCAAGUCCCUUGGAACAGGGCGCCUGAGAGGGUGAGAGCCCCSYGGGGUGCUGUGCGAAGCUUUGAGGCCCUGCUGACGAGUCKAGUUGUUUGGGAAUGCARCUCUAAGCGGGKGGUAAAUUCCWUCUMARGCUAAAUAUUGGCGAGAGACCGAUAGCGAACAASUACUGUGAASGAAAGAUGAAAAGCACUUUGAAAAGAGAGUGAAACASCACGUGAAAUUGUUGAAAGGGAAGGGUAUUGGGCCCGACAUGGGGAGUGCGCACCGCUGUCUCUUGUAGGCGGCGCUCUGGGCGCUCUCUGGGCCAGCAUCGGUUCCUGCUGCGAGAGAAAGGGUUCCAGAAAGUGGCUCUUCGGAGUGUUAUAGCCGGGGCCAGAUGUCGCGUGUGGGGACCGAGGACUGCGGCUUCUGUCUCCKAUGCUGGCMCAACGGCGCAAUACCGCCCGUCUUAA
rnacentral:rRNA from 1 species